rnacentral:lncRNA from 1 species
GAUACUUUGCUGCUGAUGCAGAGUUGUUUUCAGGCUCGUGGUCCAAACAAACCCUUAAAAUGGACCUGUAAUGCAUAUUAUUUACUAAGCUGCAGCAGGAUUGCUAUAAAAGCUUCUUACAAAUAUUCUAAUUGUAAAUCAUCUUGGAUCAGGACUCUAGAAGCUGUUGGUGAGCGUGUUUUGGAAAUGGGACUGAGUGUUUGGAUGAUUUAGGCCAGUGACGCACAGAUAUGGGCAUUGGGACGAGCAGAAGGAAGAAAGUGGCUCCUGCAUUUGUCGGUGAGGUGACCUCAGCCAGUGUUGCUCCUUCCAAACAGGACAACGGUCUUUUUAAGCCGCUCAAAAUCAAUGGCAUUUUGCGCAACGUGCGUAAUCGUGCGCAGCCGGACUCCCACAGCGAAGGGCACGACUCGGACUUUUCUGAGGAAGACGAUGAUGUUGAGGGUAAACGUUGCACCGUUCUAGAAAAGAUUGCCGUGCAAAAACUUCCUCCAAAGAGGACUUUUCUGGGAACCAGGACGCACGGACUGUGUCCGUUUGGAAUGGAUGACACGGAGGAGGAACUCUGUGUGACAGGAGGCGUAAACAAGAGCCGUUCUGCUUUUACGCACUCUCCAAAACGCACAUUUCACCACAAUUCCUCUCCCAGGGGUUUUCUGACCAGUGACGCUUUGUUGGAAGCAGUUCUCACAUCACAAAAACAAUCGACCUUUGCCAGUUGCCAGGUCUCUUCUCUCACCAUGCCAGUUAUCCUGUACGAUGGGUCAGAAGAAGAGCUGAUGGACACAAUUGAGAGAGAGUUCAGCUGACCUCCAGUGAGGAAGCAGCAACAAAGACGUUCUUUUCAACGGGGCAGGAGAUAGUUCUAGAUGCCAUUUUAAAAGAGGGAAGGAAACCCUGAUCUACAUACAGUAUGUAGAUCAUACAUACCAGAUCUACAUACAGUAUAUAGAUCAGGGGUCACCAACCUGUGUGAAACCACAGAGCUACUUCAUCUGAAGGGCUACCGUUGUUCAUCCAUCCAUUUUCUGACCCGCUUGCUCCUUUUUUCAAGGUCCCAGGGAUUUUUAAAUUUCAUAUACACUUCUUUAAUACUAAAUUUUACAGUUUCACUUUAAUUAAAGGGUAAAAUAAUGAAGAAAAAAUAGCAGUUCUUUAAAAAACGGUAUAGAAAAUUUUGAUUUUAACAUGCAACGCUUUAUUUUCUUAAUUUAUGUAAUGUUUUAUUUGUAUUACAUUUCAUAGGAAAUCAUCACGUUUGUCUUUUACUAGCCACUAUUAACAAUGUUAACCAUUUUUAAUCAUGUAACAUGUUUUUACAAUUGAACAAUUAUGUAUAAAUAUAUAUACAAAAAAAAAAAAAGGGAAGAAACGAGGUUGGAUGUAAAAUUAUCUGUGUUCAAAUUAGGGGACGGAUCUGGAUAAGCAUAAUGCUUUUUUCCGUCGCCCUUUCCGGCAUGAAAAAGGACAAAAAAAGGACAAAAAAAAAAAAAAAAACAAUGAUGUGAUUUUGAAUUUCUGUGAAUGCAACCAUGUCGGAAAUGAACUGAAUAAAUAAAUAAAUUAAAAAAAAAUAUAAUAUUUC